AUAUCUCUCUGUAUGGGAAGGAUGAGAAGCUUCGACUAAGGUUCGAUUCGAGCGAAAGCGAGAAAGCGUUGCCGCAGGCAACGACCCGAAGGGCGAAGCGCGCAGCGCUGAGUAAUCCUUCCCCCACCACCA
rnacentral:sRNA from 1 species